AGAAUCAACGCUGGCGGCGUGCCUAACACAUGCAAGUCGAACGCGAAAGCCCCGCAAGGGGUAAGUAGAGUGGCAAACGGGUGAGUAACACGUGGGUGACCUGCCUUCGAGUGGGGGAUAACGUCCCGAAAGGGACGCUAAUACCGCAUGACAUCCUGCUUUUGAAAAAGCGGAGAUCAAAGCUGGGGAUCGCAAGACCUAGCGCUUGAAGAGGGGCCCGCGCCUGAUUAGCUAGUUGGUGAGGUAAUGGCUCACCAAGGCGACGAUCAGUA
rnacentral:rRNA from 1 species